rnacentral:rRNA from 1 species
UACGAAGGGGGCUAGCGUUGCUCGGAAUCACUGGGCGUAAAGCGCACGUAGGCGGGGCUGUAAGUCAGGGGUGAAAUCCCGGAGCUCAACUCCGGAACUGCCUUUGAUACUGGAGAUCUUGAGUCCGGGAGAGGUGAGUGGAACUCCGAGUGUAGAGGUGAAAUUCGUAGAUAUUCGGAAGAACACCAGUGGCGAAGGCGGCUCACUGGGUCUCUACUGACGCUGAGGCACGAAAGCUAGGGGAGCAAACGGG